GAUGAACGCUGGCGGCGUGCUUAACACAUGCAAGUCGAGCGAAGCAGUUAAGAAGAUUCUUCGGAUGAAACUUGAUUGACUGAGCGGCGGACGGGUGAGUAACGCGUGGGUGACCUGCCCCAUACCGGGGGAUAACAGCUGGAAACGGCUGCUAAUACCGCAUAAGCGCACAGAGCUGCAUGGCUCAGUGUGAAAAACUCCGGUGGUAUGGGAUGGGCCCGCGUCUGAUUAGGCAGUUGGCGGGGUAACGGCCCACCAAACCGACGAUCAGUAGCCGGCCUGAGAGGGCGACCGGCCACAUUGGGACUGAGACACGGCCCAAACUCCUACGGGAGGCAGCAGUGGGGAAUAUUGCACAAUGGGGGAAACCCUGAUGCAGCGACGCCGCGUGAGCGAAGAAGUAUUUCGGUAUGUAAAGCUCUAUCAGCAGGGAAGAUAAUGACGG
rnacentral:rRNA from 1 species